GACGAACGCUGGCGGCGUGCUUAACACAUGCAAGUCGAACGGAAAGGCCCUGCUUUUGUGGGGUGCUCGAGUGGCGAACGGGUGAGUAACACGUGAGUAACCUGCCCUUGACUUUGGGAUAACUUCAGGAAACUGGGGCUAAUACCGGAUAGGAGCUCCUGCUGCAUGGUGGGGGUUGGAAAGUUUCGGCGGUUGGGGAUGGACUCGCGGCUUAUCAGCUUGUUGGUGGGGUAGUGGCUUACCAAGGGUUUGACGGGUAGCCGGCCUGGGAGGGUGACCGGCCACAUGGGGACUGAGAUACGGACCAGACUCCAACGGGCGGCAGCAGUGGGGAAUAUUGCACAAUGGGGGGAAGCCUGAUGCAGCAACGCCGCGUGCGGGAUGACGGCCUUCGAGUUGUAAACCGCUUUCGCCUGUGACGAAGCGUGAGUGACGGUAAUGGGUAAAGAAGCACCGGCUAACUACGUG
rnacentral:rRNA from 1 species